rnacentral:rRNA from 1 species
UUAAAGAAAGCGUAAUAGCUCACUGGUCGAGUCGGUCUGCGCGGAAGAUGUAACGGGGCUCAAACUGGAUACCGAAGCUGCGGCUGCAUACUAUGUAUGCGGGGUAGGGGAGCGUUGUGUAAGUCUGUGAAGGUGUGUUGAGAAGCAUGCUGGAGAUAUCACAAGUGCGAAUGCUGACGUGAGUAACGAUAAUGGGAGUGAAACUCCCACGCCGGAAGAC